UCCCAUCCCAUGGCGACCCCCCACCCCGCCGCCGCCGCCGCAGCCGCCGCCUUUACCCGCGAUGAGGCCGGCAUCGGCUGCUGCGCGGCCCUGCUCUCCUGCGAGGCCACGCGCUGCGCUUCGCCCGACGCUCUCGCCACCCACGCCAAGGAUUGGGCCCACGUCGCCGCCGACCUCAGGAGGUUCCCGCUGCUGGAGACGGAGGAGGCGCCUCCGCGCCGGCCGCGCUCGCCAAAAUGCGGACCGUGCACGGGCCUUUUGGCGCGUCGGCGGGAGUCCUCCACCCGAAUGUGCUGGGCGAGCUCAACGCUCCCGUCAGGACUGCUGGGGAAGUGGGACGCCGCUGCCGCUGAAACCUGCGGCUUUGAUUCUGCUGGCCACAAGCCUUAUGUGCUCAGCGCACUUGCUGAUGCUGAGCUAUGGAGACUAGAUACAUCUUUUUUUGUUUAUUUUGAUGACAGGUAAUUCCGGACGGAGGGAGUAUUGCAUACCUUGGUGGAUGCAGAACAAGCUUAGCGUCGCCCAGGCCAGGCUCUGCGCAAGGGCAUUGCUGAUGCUGAGCUGUGGAGAAGCUUGCCGCGGGCAGCAGCUCAUCAGAGAAAUCGGAAGGCCGCACGAAGAACAAGAAGAAGUGGCUGGGGGAGGUUACUUCUUCUGUACUGAUGCAGCUUAGAGACCAUGCUACCGGCGGAAAGGGCGCUCCUCGCGUGGAUUCUACAAUGGUUACGGAUUGGGGAACCAAAUUGGAGCCCGUUGUGGAUAAAGUGAAGGAAGCUAUGGGGAGCCUAAAGUGAAUUAGCGAGGAGGAGAUUAGAUUGCCUAAAGUUCCCAAGGGAACACUUCACUUUGGGGCAGACCAAAUGGCCAUAAGGCGGCGGGCAGUUUCAGUGAUAAAAUGUUCAUUUGAGAUGCACGGUGCUGUUGACUAACUUAAGUGCAUUGAGGUGGUACCAGAUAGCAAAACUAUACAGGAGAGAUAUAACAACCCAUCAAAGGGAAGAUACCGAGAAUUCUACCAGUGUGACUUUGACAUUGCUGGAGUAUAUGCAUGAGCCAAUGGAAUUCUCACAGAAUUGCUGGAUAGGCUAGAUAUUGGCACGUAUGAUAAACCUAAAUCACAGAAAGUUGCUUGAUGUCCUCCUCGAGAUCUGCGGUGUGCCUCCUGACAAGUUCAGAAUGGUCUGCUCAAGCAUCGACAAGCUUGAUAAAACUGACAUUCCAAGAGGUGUAGUAACUACUCUGUUUCUUGGCAACAGAUCAUAUUGACACUUUGCAUCAUUCUUUCGCUCUGUCGGCCGAGAUGAGGUUGUCAAGAUCAACUGCCAUUGCAAGUGGAACAAAAAGCUACCAGACAACAGAAAAUGGAGUUGGGGGUAGAGGAGGCACCUGCAAACUGGACAAAAAGCUGCUGGUCAC